UAAAUAAAUAUCGCUAUACCGUAGACAGUAGGUGCUUGUAAAAGCUUAAAUCCCUACCGAGGUGUAUUUACGAAUAAAGCAUUUGUUUGCUUGUUGUUGUAUAUACAAACCUCCAUGUCUAUCGUGGAGGUUUUUCCAUGCAGCC
rfam:Bacillus litoralis strain C44 Scaffold19, whole genome shotgun sequence.